AAGGGCGAGUGGUUGGUCUCUCUGGGAUCACAUGCUCAACCUCGGGAUGAGAAGACAUCGUGAUUGGUCGUCCCACCAAGGCCACAUGGAGUGGAGGAGGAAGUAUUUCCCCAAAGGGGAUGCUGCUGUCCACUACUUCUUGGAAAGAGAUGAUCUUCCUUCCCUGCUCCUGGGACAGAGCCUCAGAGAUGGACAAACCUUAUGAAGAGACAGAAGGCAAGUCAAGGGAAUGGGAACUGUCAUUCUUCAACAUUGAAAUCACAACUGUAAUGAGGGGCACCUGGGUGGCUCAGUCGGUUAACUGUCUGCCUUCAGCCAGUGUCAUGAUCUCAGAGUCCUGGGAUGGAGCCCCAUACUGGGCUCCCUGCUCAGUGGGGAGCCUGCUUCUCCCUCUCUCUCUGCCCCAAUCCCUCUCCCCACCCCCACCCCCCGUCCUCAGCUCAUGUUCUCUCUCUGUCUCAAAUAAAUAA
rnacentral:lncRNA from 12 species